UCAUCAGUGAUGAGCCUUUAACAUGUAAGAAGAUUUGACUUGGUGUUGGAUCUUCGAUGCAAUACUCUUGUUAACGCUUGGCUUCUGAGAUGA